rnacentral:rRNA from 1 species
CCUACGGGUGUCAGCAGUGAGGAAUAUUGCUCAAUGGGCGUAAGCCUGAACCAGCCAAGUCGCGUGAGGGAUGAAGGUUCUAUGGAUCGUAAACCUCUUUUAUAAGGGAAUAAAGUGCGGGACGUGUCCCGUUUUGUAUGUACCUUAUGAAUCAGGAUCGGCUAACUCCGUGCCAGCAGCCGCGGUAAUACGGAGGAUCCGAGCGUUAUCAGGAUUUAUUGGGUUUAAAGGGUGCGUAGGCGGCCUUUUAAGUCAGCGGUGAAAGUCUGUGGCUCAACCAUAGAAUUGCCGUUGAAGCUGGGAGGCUUGAGGAUGUGUGAGGAAGGCGGAAUGCGUGGUGUAGCGGUGAAAUGCUGAGAGAGCACGAAGAACCCUGAUUGCGAAGGCAGCCUGCCAAGCCAUGACUGACGCUGAUGCACGAAAGCGUGGGGAUCAAACAGGAUUAGAUACCCGUGUAGUC